rnacentral:rRNA from 1 species
GCGUAAAGCGUGCGCAGGCGGUUUUGUAAGACAGGCGUGAAAUCCCCGGGCUCAACCUGGGAAUGGCGCUUGUGACUGCAAAGCUGGAGUGCGGCAGAGGGGGAUGGAAUUCCGCGUGUAGCAGUGAAAUGCGUAGAUAUGCGGAGGAACACCGAUGGCGAAGGCAAUCCCCUGGGCCUGCACUGACGCUCAUGCACGAAAGCGUGGGGAGCAAACAGGAUUAGAUACCCUGGUAGUCCACGCCCUAAACGAUGUCAACUGGUUGUUGGUCCUUAGCUGGAUCAGUAACGAAGCUAACGCGUGAAGUUGACCGCCUGGGGAGUACGGCCGCAAGGUUGAAA